GCCUGGUGCCAAGUUAUUGUUAAAGUGAUGGUUCGGAGUAAUUUCACUCUAGGGUCCUUAGCACCACGAUCUCAAGCCAAACAACCCCCAGAAGCUUUUUUCACCGAGUUA